UAGGGAAGAAAACUUAUUCCAUUUCAUUCAUAAUAGUUUCAAAGAUACAAUUGGGUAUAUGCUCAAAAAAGAUGGUUGCCAGAAUAAAACCUAGAAGUCUAGCUAGGUUAUGGGGUAUUUAGUUGGCUUGCCUCCGUACUAAACUCACCCUAAAGUUUGGAUAAUGACUAAGAUGAUGAUUACAAGAUGCAAUUAUGCAAUAAAAUUCUGAAGGUCCAUGUUGUUUGGAGCAUAAACUACCUGUGAUCACCGCCUUGCAAUAACUUUCCAGAAUAAAGCGAUCAAGUUCCAUGUCUACCAUCCAUUUCAAUGCUUGAAGAAUUGUCCAUGCCUCUACCUUCUUUGGAUCUAUUAAGCCUUUUUCCUUGAUCGUUUUUGCUGCCACAAGCUUAAUUAGCAUGAUGAUCUCUGAUUACCACACCUGCCCCAAAAGAGGUUUUGAUCCUUAAAUAUUGUUUCAUCCACAUUAAUUUUCACGUAGUCCAUCUGCAGUUUUCUCCACUCACUUGACGUGCUUGAAUGGGACGUUGAAGGUGCAAUAAUGGUGGGUGAAUGUUUUCUUGCGGUGGACCACUCAUGCAGGUAUUGAAGGGCAUGACUUAAUUACAGACAUCGUGGCUAGUGGAUCCUUGUCUUUCCAAACUCUAUUGUUUCUAUGCUUCCAAAUGCACCAAAGGGACAUGGCAAAGAUACAUUGUUGUUGCCAGCUUGGAAGAGUGUCUAGCAUGCUGAAGAUUAGUUC
rnacentral:lncRNA from 1 species